GCACCACCUCCACUGCAAAAACUUGUAAACAUAGUGACAGAAACUCUGACUGACUAUCUUCCAUAUCUAAUACAGAAAAAAGUUUGCCCUCUGCUUAUUGAGAUCCUUGGUAGUGUGGAUGCUACCUUUUUAUCUGAUAUAGCUGAAAUGCUAUUCCAUGGACUUGCACUGAAUCUCAAAUUGUAAACUUUCUCAAAAGAGACCAACCCAUUCUUAAAAUAGG